rnacentral:rRNA from 1 species
CUGGCGGCGUGCCGUAAUACAUGCAAGUCGAGCGAGAAUCAGUGAUGUAGAGAUUCGUCAAAGCGGAUACUGAGGAAAGCGGCGGACGGGUGAGUAACGCGUAGGCAACCUGCCCUUAGCAGAGGGAUAGCCAUUGGAAACGAUGAUUAAAACCUCAUAAUGCUGUUGAAACACAUGUUUCGGCAGCCAAAGAUUUAUCGGCUAAGGAUGGGCCUGCGUCUGAUUAACUAGUUGGUGAGGUAACGGCUCACCAAGGUGACGAUCAGUAGCCGACCUGAGAGGGUGAUCGGCCACAUUGGAACUGAGACACGGUCCAAACUUCUACGGAAGGCAGCAGUAAGGAAUCUUGCACAAUGGGGGAAACCCUGAUGCCAGCAACGCCGCGUGAACGAUGAAGGCCUUAGGGUUGUAAAGUUCUGAUCUGUGGGAAGAAGAAGUGACGGUACCACAGGAGAAAGCCCCGGCUAAAUACGUGCCAGCCGCAGC